UUGUGGAUUAAUGCGUAUUGGAGACGCGAACCGUUUAAAACGAUUCAGUUCGAUUUGGUGAACUGGUUCAAAAAGAUCCGGUUACAUCGAAUGAUUCGUUCGCGAACCGGAUAUCACAAACUGCUUUGUUUUGAACUCUCUCUCUCACAACAGACACGGAAAAGAAGACAAUGCUGAAUAAAGUCGUAGUUUUUGCUAUUUUUGGACCAAAAUGUAUUUUCGAUGCUUCAAAAAAUUCUAACUGACCCUCUGAUGUCACAUGGACUACUUUGAUGAUGUUUUUCUUACCUUUCUGGACACACAGAGAGCUCUUUGACUAAAUCUAAGAUAUCUUAAACUUUGUUCCAAAGAUAAACGAAGGUCUUACGGGUUUGGAACAACAUGAGGGCAACCCUCACAGGGAAAGGAAAAAAAGGCGAGCUGAAGGAGCAGCUUGAGCCAGAAAAAACCAACGCAAUUUUAGAUGCAGUGAGGGAGCGAUUCCCCAACACCGAGGUGGCAGAGAUCCGGGCCCUUCUACGGAGGAAGUGCAACAGUGAGAGUUAAAAGGCCUCUAGUAACUCAAGUCAGAGCUACAGGUGCUGGUCAUAUAAUUAGAAUAUC